UCUUGCUGUGGGUACUCUGGGAUGACAGAUAUGCUUAGCCAUGCCAGCUUUACAUGGUCUGGGCACCUGAACUCAGGUCCUCACACAUGCACAGCAAGCACUUUAACCAUGAAGCUGUCUUCCCAGACCCCGGUUCUCCUUGUUAUAACACCAGCUCUCCCCCUAACAUCGUAAGGAAGCAUGAGGAGAAAGCGCCUGGAUGGUAUGGGAUUUCUUGGAAUAGCCAGCUUGAGAAUGAGACAGGAGCCUGUUCAGUUCCAAGGCAAAUCAGUUGCAUACCACGUGAUCAGGUGUGACCAGGACGGAUCUUGCUAGCAAGCAGGUUCUAUUCUUAGAGCUUUCCCGAGUGACACCAAGGACCAGUCGGGCACCCACCUCACACUCCCAUUAACCAACGUGAGCUGUGAAGACUCUUGACAAGGACACCAGCGUUUCUUUGCAGAAGAGAGGCGCUAGAUUGGAAAUGGAGUGUGCGGAUUGGUUUUGUGAUCCUCCCGAUUCUCAAGAGAAAAGCCGUGUCCCAUACUCCUCUUUGCUGGGGGCAAAAACCCAGGAAGGGUCCUUCUUCACGAUUUAUGCUCCUGAGGGUCACACAACGGAGAAGGACUGUGGCAGACAGAUCAAGUCCUGGCUUUAGUCGGUGGGUGAACUUGAAAAACUCCUUGAAACUCUAGGUCUCUGUAUUUUGUUUUGGUUGGCUUUUUCAUUAAGUAAACAAGAAGCACUUGCAUAAUCUGAAGACCUGCUUAAUUAGAUCAGCAUUUUCUAGAGUAUUUUGCUUGAGCAGUUAUUGGUUGUUACAACUGAAAAGGGUUGCAUGGCCAGAUGGUUUGGAAGGGGAGCAUCGGAGAGUAUUUGUGGCCAGUGCUUUGCAAAUAUGUUUUGACUCUAACUAGGGAGUCCACAUGGCAUGAAUCUUCUUCUCGGGUUUAUUUGAAAUGUUUUGUUGUUGUUUUAAGAAGCAUCCUAUGGGAGGAUGAGUUUUUAAGAGUCCCACGACAAAUACCACAAUAAUCUCUUCAAAAGAAAGGGUAGACUGUCUGUUGAACCCUCAAUGAAGAGCCACGAGCCACGGCCCGCAAUCCACCAUCCACGAUCCUGGGAUGACAUCUCUGUACACUUCACUGCCUUCUAAUGGGAAAUUUAAGACUCCACUCAGUGGAGUGCUCACUGUCCAUGACUAAGUCUAAAGGGACUCAUCAAAGCGACUACCUCCAAAUAACUGAACACAAUCUUGCCUCCACGGAACGAUGCUUGAUGCUUUCUUUAUCUUGGGAAGUCCAGCAGUGUGAAGGCAGUCCGUGCUUGAAAUCCCAAGGCUUAAGACUGUGGAUGAGAUGUGAUGCACUGCUGCCUGAUCCUGCUCCAUGCCUUCCCUCCCAUUAUGUACUGUAUCCCCAGGAACUGUAAGCCAACACAAAUAUUUCCUUUGCUAACAUGUUGUUAUCAGGUACUUUGUUACAGCAAUGAGAAAAACAGCUAGCACCCCACCUAUUGAGAUAAUUAUAUGAUGUUUGUGCUGUGUUUUCUUUAUGGAUUUCCAUAUGUGGAUCCAUAUACCU